GAUGAAGAACGCAGCGAAAUGCGAUACGUAAUGUGAAUUGCAGAAUUCAGUGAAUCAUCGAAUCUUUGAACGCAUAUUGCGCUCUCUGGUAUUCCGGAGAGCAUGCUUGUUUGAGUAUCAGUAAACACCUCAACUCCCCUUUCUUUUUUGAAAUGGGAGCUGGACUUGAGUGAUCCCAACGCUUUUCUCACCGAAAAGUGGCGGGUUACUUGAAAUGCAGGUGCAGCUGGACUUUUCUCUGAGCUAAAAGCAUAUCUAUUUAGUCUGCCUAAAAAACAGAUUAUUACCUUUGCUGCAGCUAACAUAAAGGAGAUUAGUUCUUGUGCUGACUGAUGCAGGAUUCACAGAGACAGCUUCGGCUGGCCUUUGUAAACUCGAUCUCAAAUCAAGUAAGACUACCCGCUGAACUUAAGCAUAUCAUAAGCGGAGGA
rnacentral:misc_RNA from 1 species